UGGGAGCCGCCCAGAGUUGGUUGAAAGAUGGGCUGCUAUAUAGUGUUUUAAAUAAAUAAAUGAAAAUCAUAAAAUCAUAU